GCUAAGUGUCUCAGUCAGUAGAGCAUUGCGCUAGCAACUCAAAGGUUGUGGGCUCAAACCCCAGGUAACA